ensembl:lncRNA RETREG1-AS1 RETREG1 antisense RNA 1
AGAAGGCCUUUCUUCUUUCUCCAGGGAGAAGAGAUACACUUAAACCAGGGUCCCACAGGCUCAAUGGGUCUCCUUCCAAAAUCAGCUUCCAAUGAGCCCUCAGAUUCUCCAAAUACUGGGCAGCUGGAUUUCCCAGACACCUUCUGCAAUCUGCUGACAUCUAAUAUACCUGUAGACUGUUCUCCUGCUGACAAGGUUGUUCUUGCUCUUAUCCUAUAAAGAAGAGAGGUGGCAGAGAGUUGGAGGGGAGGGCCUCCUUCCCUGGCAUGUCCAUCCGAGGGUCUCCAAGAACAUCCUGGCUGUGGCCCACACCUUUCUGUGUGGUUAGGAGGAGUAUCGGAUGCCUUCUCUUUCCAACCUUGGCUUAGGUGUCCGAGUUUGGAUGAGAAAUUAUAUGGGCUCCGCAUUCAUCUCCAACCUAUCAACAGCUGCUGAUAACUCCUUCUCUGAAGUGUUCUCACCUCACCUAGCCCUUUUUCUCCAGUCUCAAGGCUGCCAUCCCUGUUCAAGCUUCAGUGCCUGUCAUCCAUCUGAACUGCAUCAGCCUCAUAUCUCCUCUUCCAAUCCUCCCUGUACACCUCUCCUUUAAAACAGUGCUUUCAACCUGUAGCAUCCACCCCCAAGCGCUUACAACGAUGCCCAGUUUCCUAGAACUGCUACACCUAAAAGAAAUCACCAGCCGCCUUCUAAAGCUGGUUCAUCCGACAAAUCUCUUUCUAAAAGCUGCAUUUCUCACUGCUCCCAAAUGUGAACACUCGGCUAUUGUCAAACUAGCUCAUCUCUGAGUUCACUCUCCAAGCAAACUUUCACAUCCAUGCUGUUGCUCAUGCUAUACUAUCUUUCCUUGUCUUUUCAACCUUCUGGAAGCCCAGAUCUUCUAUCUGCAGUUCAGCUUGCUCUUCUUGCAUGAACCCUAAAUCAAGUGGAAAAAGCAUGGGUUUCUUAGUCAUGAGGAUCUGAAUUUGACCCUAGAUCCAUCACUACCCACUGUAUUUCACUGAUUAUAAGACAUACACAUUUUUUUUCACUUUUAACAUACCUGGAAAUGGAAUGUACUUUAGAAUCUUAAGCAUCUUAGAUUCAACAAAGCAUAGUAGCCUGUGACUUUGUGUUAUGUGACACAGACUCUCUGGGUCUCGGUGACCUCGUCUUUAAAACAAUUAACAUUUAACCCUCGAGACUGCUGUGGGAAUUACUUGGAAUAACCGCAGUGGGAGACCCAGUGGCAGAAUAUCUCUGUGAGAAUUUGUACCCUGAACCCAAGCAUUUUAUAAUGACUUUCUCUUGAGAAGACCUGGGCCACAUGGAAAAACUGUUGCAACUGAUACCAAAGUUUGUGUCAUCGAAUUUCAAAACAAUUCUCUGCAGUGUACAAAGCCAGAAAGAGAAACCAGCCUCAUUCAUGGGUGGUUUAACCACAGCUCUCUGCAGAGAACUCUGUUCAGAGGAAAUAGCUAAAGGGGCCAUUUCUCCAGGGGUCAUGAGCCAAGUAGCUUUCUGUUGGAAAAAUGUUGUUUGAUGGACAAAGCUACAAAAGCAGCUUUGUCCUUAAUUCUUCAGUAAAAAAUCUUCUAAAGCUGA